AAUGAACGCUGGCGGCGGGCCUAAUACAUGCAAGUCGAGCGGACAGACGGGGAGCGUUCCCCUCUUACGUGGGCGACGGGCGGGUGAGUAACACGUAGAUAACCGGCCGAUAAGACUGGGGUAAGGUCGGGGGAGCGGAUACAAUACAGGAUCAUAUGGUGAACGUGAGGGAUCAAUGGUGAAAGAGCUUUUUGCUGACACUUGUAGAGGGUUCCUCGUCGGAUUAGCUAGUUGGUAAGGUAACGGCUUACCAAGGCGACGAUGCGUAGCUGACCUGAGAGGAUGAUCGGCCACACUGGAACUGAGACACGGUCCAGACUCCUACGGGAGGCAGCAGUAGGGAAUAUUGGGCAAUGGGCGAAAGCCUGAUGCAGCCAUGCCGCGUGAGUGAUGAAGGUCUUCGGAUCGUAAAGCUCUGUUAUUAGGGAAGAAGAACAGUAUGAGUAAAUCUGGACGUUUUGACGGUACCUAAAGAGUAAGCAACGGCUAACUUCGUG
rnacentral:rRNA from 1 species